UACGUAGGUGGCAAGCGUUGUCCGGAUUUACUGGGCGUAAAGAGCGCGCAGGCGGUCGGAUAAGUCGAAUGUGAAAGCCCCCGGCUCAACUGGGGAGGGUCAUUCGAUACUGUUCGACUCGAAGGCAGGAGAGGGAAGUGGAAUUCCCGGUGUAGUGGUGAAAUGCGUAGAUAGUCGGGAGGAACACCAGUGGCGAAGGCGGACUUCCUGGCCUGUUCUUGACGCUGAGGCGCGAAAGCUAGGGGAGCAAACGGG
rnacentral:rRNA from 1 species